CAGUACCGCGGGAAAACGGAGGGUGCAAGCGUUAUCCGGAUUUAUUGGGUUUAAAGGGUCCGUAGGCGGAUCUGUAAGUCAGUGGUGAAAUCUCACAGCUUAACUGUGAAACUGCCAUUGAUACUGCAGGUCUUGAGUAAAUUUGAAGUGGCUGGAAUAAGUAGUGUAGCGGUGAAAUGCAUAGAUAUUACUUAGAACACCAAUUGCGAAGGCAGGUCACUAAGAUUUAACUGACGCUGAUGGACGAAAGCGUGGGGAGCGAACAGGAUUAGAGACCCCCGUAGUCCCUGUCUCUUAUACA
rnacentral:rRNA from 1 species